AACGCACGAGACCUGCGGACCUGCGGAAGGAUCAUUACAGAGUUAUCAAACUCCUAAACCCUUUGUUAAUUUACCUAUUUGUUUCUUCGGCAGGUGGUCCCUGGGAGGGUCCUGCAGCCUGUUAAGGUACCUGCCGAAGGUCAUAACUCGGUUUUACAUUAUGUGUCUAAGCCUUACUAUAAAAUAAGUCAAAACUUUCAACAAUGGAUCUCU
rnacentral:misc_RNA from 1 species